GACGUAGGGCGCAAGCGUUGUCCGGACUUAUUGGGCGUAAAGAGCUCGUAGGCGGCUUGUCGCGUCGACUGUGAAAACCCGUGGCUCAACCAUGUGGUCUGCAGUCGAUACGGGCAGGCUAGAAUUCGGUAGGGGAGACUGGAAUUCCUGGUGUAGCGGUGAAAUGCGCAGAUAUCAGGAGGAACACCGGUGGCGAAGGCGGGUCUCUGGGCCGAUAUUGACGCUGAGGAGCGAAAGCGUGGGGAGCGAACAGG
rnacentral:rRNA from 1 species